rnacentral:rRNA from 1 species
GACGAACGCUGGCGGCGUGCUUAACACAUGCAAGUCGAACGGAAAGGCCCCUUCGGGGGUACUCGAGUGGCGAACGGGUGAGUAACACGUGAGUAACCUGCCCUUGACUUCGGGAUAACUUCAGGAAACUGGGGCUAAUACCGGAUAGGAAUCCUUGCUGCAUGGUGGGGGUUGGAAAGCUUCGGCGGUUUUGGAUGGACUCGCGGCUUAUCAGCUUGUUGGUGGGGUAGUGGCUUACCAAGGCUUUGACGGGUAGCCGGCCUGAGAGGGCGACCGGCCACAUUGGGACUGAGAUACGGCCCAGACUCCUACGGGAGGCAGCAGUGGGGAAUAUUGCACAAUGGGCGGAAGCCUGAUGCAGAAACGCCGCGUGCGGGAUGACGGCCUUCGGGUGGUAAACCGCUUUCAGAAGGGGCGAAGCUUGUGGUGACGGUACCUGCAGAGAAGCACCGGCUAACUACGUG